GCAAACAGGAUUAGAUACCCUGGUAGUCCACGCCCUAAACGAUGUCUACUAGUUGUCGGGUCUUAAUUGACUUGGUAACGCAGCUAACGCGUGAAGUAGACCGCCUGGGGAGUACGGUCGCAAGAUUAAAACUCAAAGGAAUUGACGGGGACCCGCACAAGCGGUGGAUGAUGUGGAUUAAUUCGAUGCAACGCGAAAAACCUUACCUACCCUUGACAUGUACAGAAUCCCGAAGAGAUUUGGGAGUGUUCGAAAGAAAACUGUAACACAGGUGCUGCAUGGCUGUCGUCAGCUCGUGUCGUGAGAUGUUGGGUUAAGUCCCGCAACGAGCGCAACCCUUGUCAUUAGUUGCUACGAAAGGGCACUCUAAUGAGACUGCCGGUGACAAACCGGAGGAAGGUGGGGAUGACGUCAAGUCCUCAUGGCCCUUAUGGGUAGGGCUUCACACGUCAUACAAUGGUACAUACAGAGGGCCGCCAACCCGCGAGGGGGAGCUAAUCCCAGAAAGUGUAUCGUAGUCCGGAUUGUAGUCUGCAACUCGACUACAUGAAGUUGGAAUCGCUAGUAAUCGCGGAUCAGCAUGUCGCGGUGAAUACGUUCCCGGGUCUUGUACACACCGCCCGUCACACCAUGGGAGCGGGUUUUACCAGA
rnacentral:rRNA from 1 species